GGUUGUAUGGUGUAGUGGUUAGCACUCCAGAUUCUGAUCUUCAGAGAUUUCUGGCGACUUGGGUUCAAUUCCCAAUACGACCU
rnacentral:tRNA from 1 species